rnacentral:rRNA from 1 species
UACGUAGGGUGCGAGCGUUAAUCGGAAUUACUGGGCGUAAAGCGUGCGCAGGCGGUUUUGUAAGCCAGAUGUGAAAGCCCCGGGCUUAACCUGGGAAUGGCAUUUGGGACUGCAAGGCUUGAGUGCGGCAGAGGAGACUGGAAUUCCUGGUGUAGCAGUGAAAUGCGUAGAGAUCAUGAGGAAGACCAGUGGCGAAGGCGGGUCUCUGGACAGUUCCUGACACUGAGGCACGAAGGCCAGGGGAGCAAACGGG